CAUGACAGAGCUACUCCGUCUAGAACUGCACGUCUGCACGGAGCUAUCUUGCUUUUGUACUGCACGGAGAGCUCCGUGUAUCUCUCCAUGAUGCGCCGAGAGUCUCUUCGCGCAGCCUAGUGAGGAUAUCAUGCACAUAAACGGCAUCGUAUCCCACUUCUUAGUCCUGACAAUUCCACCCAACCGUGUACUCAGAAAAACAAAUUGACCGCAGAAUCCCAUCGCGAACCUAAAAAAUUGUCGGACGGCUUUUCCGGGUAAGAAUCUCCUUUAAUUUGUUUGUGCAGGUUUCAUGAAUUUAGAUCUUCCUACUAUUGGAACCUGAUUUUGUUGUAGUUUUAAUUUCAAUUAGGGCAUGUCGGCCAGUUCUCAAACAAUAAAGCGAAACUGCUCAAAGCAGAGUUUUUUCUUCUUGAUGGUCACACCUGGUUAGUCUUUUUAUUUGAUCUGAGAGUUUUUUGAACCCACAUUUUUCAAUUUUUUCGAAUUUUAGGAUAUAAUGGUGUUUUUUUGUUUGAUUUCAAUAAGUUUGACACAAUGGGUUUAUCUUUACAAUUUUUUUAGUUUAAUUGUGUUUAUGUCAUUAAUAUGUUUGGAGCUAAUUUCCCUUUUUUUUCAUAUUUAUAUAGCUAAAAACUGAAUUCGCAUUCAUUUGAUUUAUUUCGAAUAUAGUUUUUUGUAUUCAAUUUGAAAUAGAAUAGAUCUGAAUCUUUAUUCGCUUUACUUUUCGAUUUGUGAUUUGAUUUGAACUCAAUUCAAUUGGCGUUAAUGGAAGACGCAAGUCAACAGAACCUCGAUGGAUUCGCCUCCGUCCCAUCUCCUGGUUCGUUCACAUCUUGAUAUGCUUGUCUGUGUUUAUACUUGUAAUUAUAUUGAUUGGGAUUUCCUUGUUUUUUUUUUUUUUUACCAAGGAAUGUUGCAUUCUUAUUGGAAGGUUAUGCCUUUAUUGUAUAAUUAGGAUUUUGGAUUUUUUAGUUGCUUCCGAUCUGGGUUUUGACUUUUGAGAUUAGAUUCAAAAGGAGCCUUCUCUGUGGGAUUUUGUACGAGACAGUUUCGGAAUUGAAUUUGGAUGUUUUUGUCAAAUCUUCAUUUUUUAACUUUCAUGGGAGGAAUUUUGUACUUUUGGACUUGACUGUGACAAUAGCUGGAAAUUAUUGUGCUAUUUAUGGAGUAGACUUUUAAUUUCUCUGGGAUUACUAUUGGUCAAAAUGAAGACAAAAAUCAUAUAAAUACAGUUCUUUCUUUCAUGCAAUAUUAUAAAUCUAAGAAAUAUAUAUAUAUAUAUAUAUAUAUAUAUAUAUAUAUAUAUAUAUAUAUAUAUAUAUAUAUAUAUAUUUUUUUUUUUUUUUUUUUUUUUUUUGUGAAUUGUUCAAUGAGCUAAGUUUCAACGUGAAAGGCCUUGGUUCCUUUCCCCCUUUAUAUUAUUCCAUUGAUGGUUUUUUCCUUCAUUAUGGUUUUGACCAUCAGAUUUGGCUAGAAAACCCCACGCCCUAAUUUACAUGCAUUUGUUUAUGCAUUGUGUUAAUUUGAUUGGGGAACUAUUAUUACGUAGGUUGAAUUUUUUAAUCGUGUUAUGUUUCUCUUUCUCGUCCCUUCACCCCAUCCAGCUAAACAAAGCGAAAAGUUAGGGUAUUCCAAGUUCUACACCAUGGCUAAGGGUUGCUGAAUUUAUUUUUAUGAUAUUCAGCAUUCUUUUGAUUUUUCUUGCUCUGCAUUUUGACAAGCUGUUGAUUGCUUUGGUGAAGCAGGUGACAGGGCUGCUGAUCUGCAUAACUUGGCAGAUAAGGUAUGCAAUAAACUCAUCCUUGCAUUAUUGAGUUUUUCUCCAUCUAUCUAUAUGUCUUGGUUAGAUUAGUAAUGUCUUUCAUUGGUACAUUCUUUUGAAUAUGUUGCCAGUCACUUUUCGCCGAAAGAUGAAAGGUUGUUUCUGCAAAUCCUUCUCCAGACACAGCCAUGUCUAGGGCUCCAGAAAGAACUAAAAAUCAGCCUGCAACCUCAGGAACAACUGGGGCGAUUAGCACUAUGUAUCCUUUCAAUGCUUAUACUCUGCAGGACCAGGGCAUUUAUUAUGGAGGUUUGUUCCUAAAUUUAUGCUAAUCUCAUUGCUUUAUAAUGGCAAUAUGGAUCUGUAAGGUGACUUAUUUUUCCUCUGUUUUUACUGUUUUGAAGAUAAAAAAUUGAUUCUAUUGCUGAGUUUUUUUAAAUGAAGGAAAAAAUGUGUUUAGAACGAAGGCUCUAGAAUAUUGCUUGGAGCUGUUCUUUGAGCAUUUUAAUUUUUUUUCUUUAGUCUUGAUUGGUUCAAGUUAAAUUUCUAUUUUAAAUUUUUUGGUAUGUUUUCAGGUAAGGGUAAGGUGUUAUACUUGAGUAUUUUAAGAUGUGCUUAAGUUUGGUCUCUCUUUUAAAUUGUUUAAAGUUUUAAUUUUGGUUGGGUUUCUGAAGAAGGGUGAAAAUACAUGAAUGGAUGGUGCUUGUCGACACCGUCUGCUACAGUUGAACGAGGGACACAUGAAUGCUGUAGGUUUAAUUAGUGGUAAUGAAUUGUGUUCUGUGGUUUCUUUAUAUUUUGUUUUUCCUUUCCUUUCCCAGCAAUGAGCAAGUAUAGAAAAGAGAAUAAUGUACAUGUAGCGUAAAACAUGUCUAGAAAUGCAUUUGUUAUUGUAUUACAAUGUGUCGAGUAAACCACAUAAGCCAAAUUCACGAAUUACCUCACAUUUUCUUUUAAAUGAGAUCUGACUCAUUGUAUGCGUGAGAAACAUCAGCAUGUUCUUUGAAGUCCAAGAGUUCAUGGCAUAUUUAAUCCUCAGCAUUUCCAUGUAGAAUAUAGAAUGUAGAUUUUCAGUUCUCUUUUAUACUUUUUUUCCUUCUGUUCUUGCCCUUUAUCUAUUGCUUGUGGACUGUCUUUGACUCCUUCUGUCUAUAUAUUCCAGUUUCCGCUGUUGUCCCAGAGCAGGUAAGUAAUCUUCAUAUAUGAAUUGGGUUUUUGAUUUGAGAGUCAGCUAUGAGUUGUCAGUAAAUUAAUAUACACUUCUGGAAUUUUCUGGAAUUUUUUUGUACUUUUUGAAAAUGUGGUGAUGCUAUUCGUCGGAGGACUGUUGAAUGGAAGAAAGUGAAUUCUAAUGACCUUGGAAUUAGUAAUUCGAAGAUUUCAAGAUCCAUAAGAGUGGUUCUUAAUGGUCUCAAAGGAAAAGAUACUUACUUUGAUCAUUUUGUGUUUAUUUAUAUAUUUUGACUCUGUAUUUUCCAUAGUUUUCAAUUUAUAUAUGUUACUAAUAAAUAAUAUUAAUGUGGUGAUGAUUAUUGUCAACUAAUGAAAUUUAUGUUGAUGAUAUUUUGUGGAAAUCUGAAUUCUUUGUUAGAUGUUCUUGGCUUUUGAGUUCAUAGCUCAUGUAAAGUGUAGACGCAAAUCUUUUGUAAAAAUUGUGUAUAUGUGGAGACGGAGACUUAUUAAUGGGGAAAUAAUGAGUGACAUGUUUGGAACUGCUUUUGUUACAUAAUUGAGAGUUUGGUUUUGAUGGAAAAUGGGAUGACUUGGAUUUUGGUGGAAGUGGGAGUUAAGUCGUUCAUUUAUUUGAUUUUCUCCCUCAUUAUCAAGGUAACAUUGUCACCCAUUUAUAUAAAAGAGCAUGAACUUAAAUUUUACAAGUAAAACAGUGACUUUCUAAAUGAAUAAUUUUGUAAGGGUCAAAAUUGGAGAAUAGUUUGUAAUCUCGAGGCAUAUGCCUUAGACAAGGCUUUAAAAUAAUUAUUCUAAUCUCAAUGUUUUGAGAGGCUUAUGAUUUUUUCUUUAGAUUUUAUUUAGACAAAAUAAUGUAAGUUGUUUGUCUUUUCUUUUUCUUGUGUCGAUAUUCAUUUUCAUCGCUUGCUUUAAUAUAGAAUCAAUUUUGGGUCCAUGUUAAAAAUUGACCAUUGCAUAUACAAUAUGUCUGCUGUCUCUGCUUACCUGUUCCAGGGCUUGAAAAAUCAAAGAACUUGAUUUUUCUAAAGUCCAUGACAUUUAAAGAUAAAGACAUCUUAGAGAAAAUCAAUAAUUGCUAAAAGUUUUGAAUGGAACUGCACAUAAUCUGUUAAUAUGGUAAAUAGGCUUAGUACCAUAUGUACCACAGAUGUCAACCUAGAGCCCUAACUUUCUGAGCCAAGUCUGUCAAGGUUCCGUGUUUUAGCCUUAUUCUCAAAUGCUCAACUAUGUUCACUAGAAUUUAAGUUAGAUGUGUAAUCUGCAUAAUU
rnacentral:lncRNA from 1 species